rnacentral:rRNA from 1 species
UACGGGGGGGGCAAGCGUUGUUCGGAAUUACUGGGCGUAAAGGGCGCGUAGGCGGCCUGCUAAGUCGGAUGUGAAAUCCCUCGGCUCAACCGAGGAACUGCAUCCGAUACUGGCGGGCUUGAAUCCGGGAGAGGGAUGUGGAAUUCCAGGUGUAGCGGUGAAAUGCGUAGAUAUCGGGAGGAACACCUGAGGCGAAGGCGGGCUACUGGGCCGAUACUGACGCUGAUGCGCGAAAGCCAGGGGAGCGAACGGG